rnacentral:ncRNA from 1 species
CCUGUUUUUCUAUGAACAGUAUCCUAGGUGCAUGUGCAUAACUGGUAACAGUUUUGUGCAAAGCUGCACUAACAAUGUGCCAAGCAGGAAUGCCGAGACGAAACCGUGAGGAAGUAGUCAAGCACUGAUAGUAUUAAUCGGUCA